GGUGCAAAGUCUAAAUGAAAGAGGUGUAAGUUGAUUUUUUCCGAGUGCCGACUCGAAAUGUCAACUUAAGAGGCCCAUUUUUAAAUCGUAAGAGUCCAGUUUCGCCAUUUUCUCCCGAACAUUGUGGCACCCUCUGUGGAGAACUUGCACACUCGCAGUCAGCUCUUCACCACCCCGGCCUCUAAAACAACUGUUGAUUAUGAGGGCCUCUUCAUCUGACGGUUGAGAUGGAGCUGCAUCCACCUACCUUUACCCCAUACCACCACUGCUUUAUCAGUCAGAAUUUGUCUCUCUUCCUCUCACAUGGUCUCUUCAUUCAUUAUAUUAUUAUUAUUAAAUUAUUUGGUAAUAUAUAAUACACACAAGGUUGUCAAACUUGAAAGUUUACUUAGAAGAGUGGAAAUUUCAUAAACUAGUAAGAGUUUACCUCCCAUUAAAAAGAAUUGUAAAUUCAAAUAUUACAAUAGAAUAAUUAAAUAGAAUAGAUGAGAAUGUACUUGAAUUACUUUUAAUUGAAUUUGAUCCAUUCUCGACAUACUUUAAAUUGAUCUCUAAUUUCAAUUUCAACUACAAAAUUGAAAAGCAGGUUGUAUAGUCAUUAAAUAAUUAAAAAUAAUUAUUAAUUCCUAAUUAAAAUCUUAAAUUAAAACCCCUAAUGUAGGAAAAAAAAUUUAAACCACAAAACGGCAGCUACCAUAGUCGUUUGGUGUGAGAAACUAAAGUAAACUCACCUAAUGUAGGGAUUCACUUCAGCAUCUACUUUUGUGUUCGUUAUUGGCUUAAUUUCUCCGAUUUCGUUACUUAUCAGAAAGCAGCAAAGCUACUAUGCCAAAGUUGACCAGCUUAGGUAAUAUUUUGUCUCAAUUAUUUUUAUCGAUAUUACCCUUGUGUAUGCUUUCUACUAUUUCUACUAUUUGUCCCAUGAAAUCGAGCAUUGAUCAACCACUCUGCAAUUUUGAAUCUACUUUUGCUUGGGAUGUUUGCGUGCUUAAUUUUACAUUUUACAUGUUCCACUCUCUUUAAAAUUUCGUUGGUGGUAGUCAUAGUGGUCAUACUUAUGGGUGUUGCUGGAGGUAGUUAGCAUGCACUUAGUUUUACAUGCUUCAAUUUCUGUGUGUAAUUCGUUGAUCAUAGUCAUUGUGGUCAUAGUUAUGGUUAUUUCCGGAGAAAUUUGGAAUUUCCUCUGAUGUAUUUGUACUUUCUUGUUCAACAUUUAGGUUAGAUGAAAGUCGUAAACUUGAGGGUUUAUUUGAUCAUUUGCUGUUUCAUUUGAUUUACUAUACAUGGCUGGUUAAAUUUAUUUAUUCUAAUUUUAAUAUAUCACUAGCAUGGACAUUUCUUUAGUGGAAUUUCAUCUGUGGCUUCCCUUUGGUAGAGUUCAAUAAAUUUUAUAAUGGUUUCUUGUAUUCAAUAUAGUCAUUUCUUUCCAUACUUUGUAACUUAUAUCUCUUUGUUGUACCUUGGAGGUAUGAAUUGUUGACUUUUGAUAUAUCCUAAGCUAGAUUUUGACAUUGAACUUACUGGACAGGAUGGACCACUCUUUCUGUUAUUGAAGUUUGGUUGUUUUGUAGAAUUGACCAUUUUAAUUUUAUUGAGCAUGCAGCUUUUCUUUCAUGGCGGAGGAAAAUUCUCAAUUGAACAACUUGCAAGAAGAAAAUGGAGCCUUAGAGCUUCAAAGUCUUGUAGAAAGAGUUGGUGACCUUCCUCUAUUGUCUCCAAAAGAAGGAUGUGACAGUAAAGGUAGUAAUUAUGCAAAAUGAAUCACCUAAUUUAAAUUAUUUAAUUGCCACAUUACAUGUUUAUAGUCUGAGUGUUGUAAGAUAUGAAUCCAUAUUUCAUUUAUUUUCUCAGUAACUUAGUUUAUUUAUGCCAAAUCUUUUAAAGUUCAACAUUAAAAAUAUUCUUGUUAUGUAGUAAGAUACUCAUUAAAAUAUCUUAAAUAUCUUAAACGGUUAAGAUAUUUAUCAAGCCAGUAACCACAUUUUUAGGUAAGGUGGUUAUUUUUAUUUUGCUUAUAAAUACAAUGACAGGACCAGAGUCCAGGUACGUUCUCUUUAUGUCUAGAGAUCCUAAAUAAUAUUUCAGAGCAGUAAUCACUCUCUUGAGAGCUGAGGCUCCAUAACUCACAUCUGACUUGAGCGUCGGAGUAUCUUUGCAGGUACCUCCCCCUCCUUUGGCGAGUAUGAACAACAACAAUUGGAGAAGGGCAAGCGUCCCAGACAGCCAGGAGCAACAAAGACACCGAAAAAUAUCUACACCGAAAUAUUUUGGCGCCCACUAAUGAGUCAAUAUUUUAUUGAUUUCACUUAGCUUAUUGUACCGAAUUUAAUCAAGGAAUUGUGCUUAAAUGUCCAGUAUUUUCCCAUUUUUACUAAAUGUGCUUAAAUUGACCAGAAAUUCUUAUUUCAAUUAAUUUGAAUUAUCUGAGACUAAUUAUUAGUAUUAUUAAUUGUAGGGGAAUUGUUGGAUAACAUUUUGGGACUCAAAGAGAAAUUUCUCAUCAAGAACAAUUUAAACUAAAAUGAGAAAUAAAAUGAAAAUUUAUUUUCAUUUUGUAGACGGCAUCUUAUAAUGAUUUUGCAAUUGGCAAAGCAUUUGGCAAAAUGGAGGGGGGGCCACCAUGGUUGAAGCUAACGUCCAACACUUGAAAAAAAUGGAAUGGUGAAUGGUUUGUUUUUAUCUCCAUUUGUUUUUGGCUAGACAACAUGGGAGCCACCACUUUGAAAAGUUUACGUGAAGGUGUAAGAGCUCCAAAAUGCUAUGUUUUUAAUUCUUCAUAAACACAUGCCCCAUAUUAUUUUGGGCAAAGCAUGUGUUGAAUUAAAGAGGGGCCACCACUUUGUUCAAGUUCACGGGAGAAGCUUGCAAAAAUUUGAAUUUUAUAUUAUUAAGGGAAGUGGUGUUACUGAUAUGUUUUGCCAAGCCAACAAACCACUUAACGGAGCUCAUGGUAUUGAUGGUAGAAAAUACAUUAUGGCCCACUUUGCACUCAUCUCACAAUUGCUUCAGAAACAACACACACCACACUUCUUUCCUAAAACGAAAAUUGGCUUGCAUAUAUGCAAUGAGUUCACGGCUUUGAGAAGUUUGGUGCAGAAUUUUUGAAGUGUUUUCUACAAAGUAGCUCACGGCCUAGAUGCUGUCAUAGCCUGGUUUGGUUUCAUAUUCUAACAGCACCAUCUACAUAGAAGCAAGGCAUGAAGGUGGCUGAAAGAAGCACACAGCUCAUGUACAAGAAACGGUGGGCAUUUAACUUCUGUUCGAAGAAAAGCAAAACACAAGGGCCCCUAUUACUUUUUGGCUUGCAAAGUCAAACACGGUUACAUGCUACUUGGAGAAGCUUCCCAUAGUCAGCAAAACAGAGCUUGGAGCUGCAGAGCACGCUGGAGACACACGGCCUGAUCACCAGCCACCACUGAGAAAUUUCUUCACCUUCCUUUACGUGAGCAAAACUAAGAGAAGAGGAUUCCAGCAUCUUGGAGAGAAGACCACGACAUGCACAAGCCAGCAGAGGACCUCUCGGUACAGCAGCUGCACCCAGCACUUCACACUCCACGGUCUUGAUCUAGUUGAGGAAGAAGACAGCAGCUACAACAUGUGAAGGGAGAAGAGUUGAGAAGGGUGUUCACGGUUGAAUGGAGAAGAAGCUCACGGAGAAGCUCUAAAGGUCACAUCCAUCCAUUGGGAGUGCAAACGGCUAGCUGGAAGAAGUAGUGCUGGAUGGGAACGUUAAUGGCUGGAAGAAAAGCACACCAUGCACAGCAAAAUGAAGAGAAGCAAGUUGGGAGAAGAGGACAAAUAUUAGUUGGAAAAAGGAGAGACUCACGGGUUCAGAUGUUUUGUUAUAAAACCACCACAAGCAGCAAAGAAUGUGUAUCAGUUUUAGGAGUAGGAAUUUAGGAGAGAGUUUACGUUCUGCUUUCAUUUUUCCACCUCCCUUUUGGGGAGGUUUUGGAUUUGUUCCCCAGUAUGAUUUCCAAUUUGUUUUACAAUUUCAAUCUGCACAUUUAAUUUCCAGUGUGUUUUAGUUGAUUGUUGUUAAAUUUUUUAUCUGCCAAUUACCUUUGGUUUAAAA